rnacentral:rRNA from 1 species
UUCCUACGGGUGGCAGCAGUGGGGAAUAUUGCACAAUGGGCGAAAGCCUGAUGCAGCAACGCCGCGUGAGCGAUGAAGGCCUUUGGGUCGUAAAGCUCUGUCCUUGGGGAAGAAACAAAUGACGGUACCCUUGGAGGAAGCCCCGGCUAACUACGUGCCAGCAGCCGCGGUAAUACGUAGGGGGCGAGCGUUAUCCGGAAUUAUUGGGCGUAAAGAGUGCGUAGGUGGCCAUGUAAGCGCGGGGUGAAAGGCAAUAGCUUAACUAUUGUAAGCCUUGCGAACUGUGUGGCUUGAGUGCAGGAGAGGAAAGUGGAAUUCCUAGUGUAGCGGUGAAAUGCGUAGAUAUUAGGAGGAACACCAGUGGCGAAGGCGACUUUCUGGACUGUAACUGACACUGAGGCACGAAAGCGUGGGGAGCAAACAGGAUUAGAUACCCCGGUAGUC